rnacentral:rRNA from 1 species
CCUACGGGAGGCAGCAGUGAGGAAUAUUGGUCAAUGGCCGCAGGGCUGAACCAGCCAAGUCGCGUGAGGGAUGACGGUCCUAUGGAUUGUAAACCUCUUUUGUCAGGGAGCAAAGGGCGCCACGUGUGGCGCUCUGCGAGUACUUGAAGAAAAAGCAUCGGCUAACUCCGUACCAGCAGCCGCGGUAAUACGGAGGCUGCGAGCGUUAUCCGGAUUUAUUGGGUUUAAGGGGGUCGACGGCGGAAUGGCAAGUCAGCGGUAAAAUGUCGGGGCUCAACCCCGUCGUGCCGUUGAAACUGGGGUGCUGGAGUGAGCGAGAAGUAUGCGGAAUGCGUGGUGUAGCGGUGAAAUGCAUAGAUAUCACGCAGAACUCCGAUUGCGAAGGCAGCAUACCGGCGCUCAACUGACGCCCAUGCACGAAAGCGUGGGGAUCGAACAGGAUUAGAUACCCGUGUAGUC